rnacentral:rRNA from 1 species
GGUUAAGCGACCAAGCGUAUACGGUGGAUGCCUUGGCAGUCAGAGGCGAUGAAGGACGUAGUAACUUGCGAAAAGCGUUGGUGAGCUAGUAACAAGCAUUUGAGCCAGCGAUGUCCGAAUGGGGAAACCCGGCAGCAUAAGCUGUCAUCACUAAGUGAAUACAUAGCUUAGUGAGGCGAACGAGGGGAACUGAAACAUCUAAGUACCCUUAGGAAAAGAAAUCAACCGAGAUUCCCCAAGUAGCGGCGAGCGAACGGGGAUUAGCCCUUAAGUCUUUGGGGUGUUAGUGGAAUGUGUUGGAAAGCACAGCGGCACAGGGUGAUAGCCCCGUACACGUAAACUAACCAGAGAUGAAAUCGAGUAAGGCGGCACACGUGAUAUGUUGUCUGAAUAUGGGGGGACCAUCCUCCAAGGCUAAAUACUCCUGACUGACCGAUAGUGAACCAGUACCGUGAGGGAAAGGCGAAAAGAACCCCUGUGAGGGGAGUGAAAUAGAACCUGAAACCGUAUACGUACAAGCAGUGGAAGCGGUUCUUGAGACCGUGACUGCGUACCUUUUGUAUAAUGGGUCAGCGACUUACAUUUAGUAGCGAGGUUAAGCGAAUAGCGGAGCCGUAGGGAAACCGAGUGUUAACUGCGCGUUGAGUUGCUAGGUGUAGACCCGAAACCCGGUGAUCUAGCCAUGGGCAGGUUGAAGGUUGAGUAACAUCAACUGGAGGACCGAACCGACUAAUGUUGAAAAAUUAGCGGAUGACUUGUGGCUGGGGGUGAAAGGCCAAUCAAACCGGGAGAUAUCUGGUUCUCCUCGAAAGCUAUUUAGGUAGCGCCUCGGACGAACACCUUUGGGGGUAGAGCACUGUUAAGGCUAGGGGGUCAUCCCGACUUACCAACCCUUUGCAAACUCCGAAUACCAAAGAGUGCUAUCCGGGAGACAGACGGCGGGUGCUAACGUCCGUCGUCAAAAGGGAAACAACCCAGACCGUCAGCUAAGGUCCCAAAGUAAUUGCUAAGUGGGAAACGAUGUGGGAAGGCUUAGACAGCUAGGAUGUUGGCUUAGAAGCAGCCAUCAUUUAAAGAAAGCGUAAUAGCUCACUAGUCGAGUCGGCCUGCGCGGAAGAUGUAACGGGGCUAAGCAAUUCACCGAAGCUACGGGUACUGAUGCUUGCAUCAGUGCGGUAGAGGAGCGUUCUGUAAGCCGUUGAAGGCGAAGGGGUAACCCACGCUGGAGGUAUCAGAAGUGCGAAUGCUGACAUGAGUAACGAUAAAGGGGGUGAAAAACCCCCUCGCCGAAAGACCAAGGGUUCCUGUCCAACGUUAAUCGGGGCAGGGUGAGUCGACCCCUAAGGCGAGGCUGAAAGGCGUAGUCGAUGGGAAACGGGUUAAUAUUCCCGUACUUCUGCUAACUGCGAUGGAGAGACGGAGAAGGCUAGGCCGGCGCGGCGUUGGUUGUCCGCGUUUAAGGUAGUAGGUGGUGUGCUUAGGCAAAUCCGGGCACACAUACACUGAGAGCUGACGACGAGUCCCUAAGGGGAUGAAGUGGUUGAUGCCAUGCUUCCAGGAAAAUCUUCUAAGCUUCAGGUUAGCAGGAAUCGUACCCCAAACCGACACAGGUGGUCGGGUAGAGAAUACCAAGGCGCUUGAGAGAACUCGGCUGAAGGAACUAGGCAAAAUGGUACCGUAACUUCGGGAGAAGGUACGCUCCUGUUGGUGA